rnacentral:lncRNA from 1 species
UCUUUUCUUUUUUUUCUCCUCUCCUUCUCUUCCAUCUCUCCUUCUCUUCCUUUGCUUCCCUCUGCUUCCCCCUUGGUUCCGCCAACGAUGAUGGCGGCAGCGGCGUCGCACCGCUCCUCUCCGUUUCCUCUCUUUCUUUUUUCAUUCUUCUUGCCCCUCUCAUUCUAUUCCUCCUCCGCUUAGCUCUCGUCACUCAAAGCGACAACGGCAGCGGCGUCCCCGCCGCCUCUCUCUCGACGGCCAAGAAGAAAAAACAAAGUCAAACUCAAAUCUGCCUCCCUCUCCUUUUAUUUAUUCGAUUCCGAAUGGAUCGGGGCUGGCAUGCAUCGGAGGAUGCCUCCGGCGAGUCCUCCGGUGACAGACAAGCCCCAAUCUACAGAUCUAGGGUUCUAAUAUUUCAUUUAAACAGCUUUUCUGACGUUGUUAUUUUGUUUUAUUUUUUAUUUUUAAUUUAGGGAUGGAAAUCGACGGAGAGGAAGACGAGGACCUCGCCGCCGCCGACGCGGCCGACGACUGCAGCAAAGAGACUGACAGAGAAAAGGGGAGUCAGGUAAAAAACUCUGUUUUAUUUUCUUUAACUAAUCCCUGUUUUAGCGAAUAAGGAACUAACCCUUCUUUGUAAUAUCAGACGAGAAAAUAAAAGAAAAGCAUACCUUAAUCGCUGAAGAGAAACGAAACAAAAAGAGAAGGGAAAACGGCUACCGUAAAGUAGAGCGUUAAUUUCUAACUAUUCUAGUUUGUCUUGGUAAAUGGUAGUAGUGGUUUUGUUAUUGACUAGGUUGCUUAUUAUCUGAAAAAUUUGAUUGUUUUGUUAUUGAAGCUGGACUGGUAAUCUAAACUUUUGUGAAAACGAUUUUCUGAUUACAAAAUUUUGUCAUUUUACUACUUUUAAUAAAGUUCCAGCAAUAAUACUUGACAGAAAAUCCAUAUUUUAGCUCGAUUUUGGCGUCAUAUUAUGAGUAGUAUUGUAGCUCUUAAGUUCUUGGUGUAAGUUGCGUGAAAAUGGUAAUUGGAGAUUGCUUAAUCCAUUGUUAAUCUGUUUUCCAGCGGCCUUUCUUGAACAAAAAUUCUUCAUUUUACCCUUGAAUUCAUUGUUUGCUUAAGUUGGCUGUUUCACGAUUUAGUAGUUGUGAAUAUCAAGUUAGGAGCAGCAAAACAGACAAUAUACAAACAAACCUAGGAAGCAUAUUGAGAAGUGUUAAAACAGAAUAUGAAUGAUAUGUGAAUGAUUGUGAAUCGGAAAGGGGUUCGUUUGGGAGCACCGAUCUUUUAACGUUAGCUUUUGUUUAUUAAAGUUUCGGUAGUGUGAACUAAACUUCUGUCUCUUAUUCUAUGAAUUUUGGGGAUUCAGUGGGUCUCGGGAGCUUGACGGAAGCACCUCAUCUAGUGGAUUCAACGCUUUCCAAUCUUUGUAUCUUUUCUUCGUUCAGUUUUAUUUGUUUCUUUAUGUGAUUGUACUAUGUUGUUGUUUUGUAAUAGGUUUGGUUAGAUUGGACGUGUUGUAAAUAAUAUUUGGGAUUUUGUGGUUUUUGAGAUUUAGUGGGCUAAAAGUACAUGUAAAAAAAACUCCUCCUUGUGGUCUUUAGUUAGGUCCUUUUAUAGAAUAAAAAAGGUUGCUGCCUCUUCAAUUCUCCAA